rnacentral:lncRNA from 1 species
CCCGCCCCAGCCGAGCCGAGCGGAGCCGAGCGCGCAGCCGGGCCGCCGCCGCCGCCGUCUCGUAGAUGCCAUCACAGCAACAAAGAGCUCGCUGAGCUGAGAGCCGCGACAAGAGCUCGCCUGGAAGCCCUCCACCGUGCCCGCUCCAGGAGCUGGGUGACAGCAGGAGGAAACGCUCCGGGGGUCUGGGGGAGGAGAGGGGACAGGAGAUGGCCAAGAAGAGAAAGCCCCCCAGCAUCAAGGAUGAGGAAACUGAAGUUUAGAAAUGUUAAAAGAUAAUUCACUGGAAAGUGGGCGGUCCAAACCAAUGGACUGGGGGCAUCUCAAGGUUAGUGCAUCCAAAGCCGACAUCUUCAUUUCUUCUUAAAACAUGUUCCUCUUCCAGGUCUGAAACCUCCCUCCUUCCAUCGCUCCCUCCCUCCCUCCUCCUGUUCUCUCUCUCUCCCUACUUCUAUCCUUCCCUCCUUCUCUUCUUCACUCCCUC